rnacentral:rRNA from 1 species
AUGGUCGCCCGCUUCCCAGUCUCUCUCCGCUGGUCUGGCGGCCUACUGCGGGCUAGCAGCAGCCGCCGCCGCGGCGUAUCCGCGAUGGCCGGAGGAGGCGAAGAGGCGCACCUCGGGGGGUUCCUCGAGUACAUGGACAUGCUCCGCAACUACGAGCGCUCCGGCGUGCCGCGCGGCGCCGGGACCGACUCCGACGACGGCUUCGACCUCGGCCGCAUGCGCCGCCUCCUCCGCCGCCUCGGCGACCCCCACACCCACUACCCGUCUGUCCAUAUCGCCGGCACCAAGGGGAAAGGUUCGACUGCCGCGUUCCUGUCCAAUAUCAUGAGGGAGCAAGGAUACAAUGUGGGCUGCUAUUCCAGUCCACACCUUCUAACAAUCCGAGAGCGCAUUUCUGUUGGACAACAUGGAGGCCCUGUUUCAGCUGCAUCCUUGAGGGAUCUUUUUGAUCUGGCCAAGGAAGCUAUCGAUGAAUCAAUCGAAUCAGAAAAUGGAUCCCUGACACACUUUGAGGUUUUUACUGCUCUUUCAUUUCUCCUAUUCUCACGAGAAAAUGUUGAUGUUGCCAUUGUCGAAGCAGGCCUUGGGGGAGCUAGAGAUGCCACAAAUGUCAUACGAAAUAGUGAACUAGCUGCAGCAGUCAUAACAACAGUUGGGAAAGAACAUUUAGCUGCUUUGGGUGGUUCCCUCCAAAGCAUAGCAGUGGCAAAAUCUGGAAUUAUCAAGGAAGGACGACCAGUUGUCAUUGGUGGUCCAUUUUCAACAGACAUCGAGCAAAUAAUUCGGGAUAGAGCAUUCUUGACACAAUCUCCUGUCAUAUCUGCUUGUGAUACUGCCAUCAGGAGCAUCACAAGAUGCAUUGGACGAGACUAUGCAAAGCCUUAUCAAAGCUGUGACAUUGUCAUGAAGAUUUCAGGCGAUAUGCCAUUGUCUGUGGAAUUGCAUGAUGUAAAACUCCAGCUGCUGGGAGACCAUCAGCGUCAGAAUGCUGUCACGGCUUCUUGCACAGCUCUAUGUCUGCGUGAGCUAGGAUGGAAUGUAUCCAAUGCAUCUAUCCGAGCUGGUUUAGAGAAGACGCAACUGCCAGGGAGAAGCCAAUUCCUGACACAAGAUGAAGCCUCGGUCCUUGGGCUCGACGGAGCAUCCACCAUUCUAAUCGACGGAGCCCAUACCGAGGCGUCUGCAAAGGCACUGUCAGACGUGAUAAAAACCGUCGAACCGGAAGGGCCUGUGGCCCUCAUCGUCGGAAUGGCCAGCGACAAAGAGCACCUCGCAUUCGCUGCACAAAUUCUCUCAGGCAGAAGGCCCGACGUGGUGCUGCUGACGGAGACGGGGAUCGCGGGAGGGACUGCUCGCUCCAUGCCGGCCUCAUCACUGAGAGACAUCUGGACAGGCGCCGCUCUCGGCCACGGCAUCGAGUGUGCGGACAUCGGGGCCAUCGCCGGCGACGAAGCCCCAAACGUAAAUAUCGACCACCUGACACCCACCGCUGGCACAGACAAGCCCGCGCCGAUGUUGAUCGGGUGCGGAGCCGCGCCGUUCUCUUGCGACCUGAUGAAGGCGGCCUCCCGGCUGCUGCGCCGGGCAGACGGAGGCGGCGCUGCUCGGGGUGGCCUCAUCUGCGUCACCGGCUCCAUGCAUAUGGUCGCGGCGGUGCUGCAGCAGCUUGAGCAGUAA